rnacentral:rRNA from 1 species
UACGGGGGGGGCAAGCGUUGUUCGGAAUUACUGGGCGUAAAGGGCUCGUAGGUGGCCACUUAAGUCAGACGUGAAAUCCCCAGGCUCAACCUGGGAACUGCGUCUGAUACUGGUUGGCUUGAAUUCGGGAGAGGGAUGCAGAAUUCCAGGUGUAGCGGUGAAAUGCGUAGAUAUCUGGAGGAAUACCGGUGGCGAAGGCGGCAUCCUGGACCGAGAUUGACACUGAGGAGCGAAAGCCAGGGGAGCAAACGGG